UACGUAGGGGGCAAGCGUUGUCCGGAAUCAUUGGGCGUAAAGAGCGCGUAGGCGGUCCGAUAAGUCGGUUGUGAAAGUCGGGGGCUCAACCCUCGGAGGCCGACCGAUACUGUCGGGCUAGAGUCCGGAAGAGGCGAGUGGAAUUCCUGGUGUAGCGGUGAAAUGCGCAGAUAUCAGGAAGAACACCAAUGGCGAAAGCAGCUCUCUGGGACGGUACUGACGCUGAGACGCGAAAGCGUGGGGAGCGAACAGG
rnacentral:rRNA from 1 species